rnacentral:misc_RNA from 1 species
GAUGAAGAACGCAGCGAAAUGCGAUACUUGGUGUGAAUUGCAGAAUCCCGUGAACCAUCGAGUCUUUGAACGCAAGUUGCGCCCGAAGCCAUCAGGUUGAGGGCACGUCUGCCUGGGCGUCACAUAUCGUUGCCCAAUGCCUAUUGCAGUGCAAUAGGAAUUUCUAGGGCGAAUGAUGGCUUCCCGUGAGCGUUGUUGCCUCGCGGUUGGUUGGAAAUCGAGUCCUUGGUAGGGUGUGCCAUGGUAGAUGGUGGUCGAGUUAGAACGAUACCGAUCAUGUGCAUGCUCCCCAAAAUAUGGCCUCUAUGACCCACACGCGUCUUUUGACGCUCAUGACGAGACCUCAGGUCAGGCGGGGCUACCCGCUGAAUUUAAGCAUAUCAAUAAGCGGAGGA